UACGAAAGGUGCGAGCGUUAAUCGGAAUUACUGGGCGUAAAGCGCGCGUAGGCGGCUUGUUAAGUCGGAUGUGAAAGCCCCGGGCUCAACCUGGGAGUUGCACCCGAUACUGGCAGGCUAGAGUGCUGUAGAGGGAGGUGGAAUUUCCGGUGUAGCGGUGAAAUGCGUAGAGAUCGGGAGGAAUACCAGUGGCGAAGGCGGCCUUCUGGACUGACACUGACGCUGAGGUGCGAAAGCGUGGGUAGCAAACAGG
rnacentral:misc_RNA from 1 species